rnacentral:rRNA from 1 species
GAGCUCGUAGGCGGUUUGUCGCGUCUGCUGUGAAAACCCGAGGCUCAACCUCGGGCCUGCAGUGGGUACGGGCAGACUAGAGUGCGGUAGGGGAGAUUGGAAUUCCUGGUGUAGCGGUGGAAUGCGCAGAUAUCAGGAGGAACACCGAUGGCGAAGGCAGAUCUCUGGGCCGUAACUGACGCUGAGGAGCGAAAGCAUGGGGAGCGAACAGGAUUAGAUACCCUGGUAGUCCAUGCCGUAAACGUUGGGAACUAGAUGUAGGGGCCAUUCCACGGUUUCUGUGUCGCAGCUAACGCAUUAAGUUCCCCGCCUGGGGAGUACGGCCGCAAGGCUAAAACUCAAAGGAAUUGACGGGGGCCCGCACAAGCGGCGGAGCAUGCGGAUUAAUUCGAUGCAACGCGAAGAACCUUACCAAGGCUUGACAUAUACGAGAACGGGCCAGAAAUGGUCAACUCUUUGGACACUCGUAAACAGGUGGUGCAUGGUUGUCGUCAGCUCGUGUCGUGAGAUGUUGGGUUAAGUCCCGCAACGAGCGCAACCCUCGUUCUAUGUUGCCAGCACGUCAUGGUGGGAACUCAUAGGAGACUGCCGGGGUCAACUCGGAGGAAGGUGGGGAUGACGUCAAAUCAUCAUGCCCCUUAUGUCUUGGGCUUCACGCAUGCUACAAUGGCCGAUACAAAGGGCUGCAAUACCGUAAGGUGGAGCGAAUCCCAAAAAGUCGGUCUCAGUUCGGAUUGAGGUCUGCAACUCGACCUCAUGAAGUCGGAGUCGCUAGUAAUCGCAGAUCAGCAACGCUGCGGUGAAUACGUUCCCGGGCCUUGUACACACCGCCCGUCAAGUCAUGAAAGUCGGUAACACCCGAAGCCAGUGGCCUAACCGCAAGGAAGGAGCUGUCGAAGGUGGGAUCGGUGAUUAGGACGAAGUCGUA